AAAAAACACUUUCAAUGCUGGGAGCUGUGUGUGCAACGACCUGUAAAGGGAAAAAACGUCAUGAAAGGAUUAAGUCAUGAUAUUUUGUUAACUCAUUUUGCCUUCAAGUUGAAAAAAAUAUAUUAUAUAUAUAAUAUCUGUGGGUCAUAGAUGGAACAGAAUUAUCUGUUAACUUUUUCAUUUCAGCGAUGAUCACACUUGCUCCUAGCUCCUAAAUAAAUAAUUUAUCUUCAGAGAAAGUUACGGUGCAGUGUUUGAAAAUGUUUAUGUGCUUAAUUAUACUUAAUGAUUCAUGAACUGGAUAUUCACUACUUAGUUUUUGUCGAUAUAGGGAUCAUUAUGCCUGGACGUUCAAGGCUAGCCGUAAAUGUUUUAUGCAAUUUAUUUAUUUUUUUGUUUCGUUUUUUAAGAAGGCAAUUUCAAAGAAGAGGAUCCCAGGUUCAGCUGAGGCUGGAGGUGGUGGAAGGAAGAGAUAUCUCAUCUUGCUGUAGCAGCAGAUGGGUCAGGACAUGACGAGUGUCAGAACCACAUCGAAAAGCUAAAGAUUUUGAAGAAGAGUUCGAUCUCACUGGGAAAGAGAGAGCAGAAGAGAACAGGAGGAGGGAGCAGCGGUGAUGAAGAGCAGACAGAUUUGAGAGCUUCUGGAGAGGCGAAGACGAGGAGACUAUCAGACCCGGAGACGACUGAAGGAGAGAAAGGGGGAAUGUGGACUGGCAUUACUGCGAGCAUGUAAUUACUGAUAAAGACGAUGACCAGGAAGGACAACGUGGUGUCUUGGCAGAGGCCUUUAACUUCACUCAAGAUGGUCUUCAAAACACUGACACAUGCCCUGUCUGUAUAUUCGGCCUUCUUUCCACAUUUGCACUUGUCCAAACCACUUCUGUAAAUCACAUAAUGGCACUUCUGAUGGACAGUUUUACUACUUCCCUGCUUGCACACGACGCUCAUUGUCAGUAGGGUAGAAGUUGACAAUCCAGAAUCACCUCUGCUUUUACUUAACAAUCCUUCAAUUUGAAAAAAAUCCUCAACAUCUGCAUCAUUCAAAAGCUUCCAUGAUAUACACCAAUAAAUGCACAGUCCACUGAGAAUCUUGCUUCUACUGUACGAUUGCGUCAUAUUUGUAAUAUGGGGCAAAUGAGUGGGUUUCUAAUACUAAAGCCCUGACAGGCAUUUGCUGUCACUUAGUUCAGAUCACAUUAUACAGCCACUUUUUUUUUGCUAAGCAGCUGUCCAGGAGGUUCUCUCGCUGCGUCUGACGAUUAUUUUGCCAAAAGCAAAGCUUCUACAACACUAACAUGUUUAGAGCGAAAACAGAAGUUAGCCUUGUUUACCUGUGUUGCUGAUCCUGCAGUUCUUUCAUGCAGUCCGUAUUUAUGCAUUUAUUUAUGUAUUCUUGCUUUUCCUUUGACCAGAGGGAUGAUGCCACUUUGAUGCCAUCCUUUCAUAGCCUUUACAACAUUCGCAGCGGCAUUUUGACAUAGGUGGGCGGGCCUUUGGGCGGUGCGGGUGCUCUGCACAACUUGGCUGAACGGUCUCCUUUGUGUGCGAGUGUGUGUCCCUAAUUCGGCAGCCGAGCCUAGAAGGCAGAGAGAGGUAGAGAGGAAAAAAAACCUUACUCUCCCAUGGUUUGGCUUUAGCGCCGCAUUGAGAGGCCAUUAUCAGGCCAUGGCAAUAGGGGUGAGGAAGGGGCCUCAGUAAUAGUUUUUAUAGGUUCAGCACUGCCCUGUCUCUGCACCUGGCAUUUAUCACCCCCCGGAGGUGCAGCAAAUGAUUUUAAAUUAAUAAGCAGGUACAGGAUGGGCUGCCUGUGAUGGGGUGGAAUGCCCUGAACAGGGAGGGAUGAAUAACUACCUGCACAGCAUCCAGUCGAGCCUCCCAUUCUGCUCCUCUACUUUUAUGUAUCCAUAUGGCCAAAUCUCUUCUUCUUCUUUUUCUCGGUGUGGCCAUUUAUAGUCUUAGAUGCAUGAGCACAGUGACUAGAUGACUAAAAAUCCAUAAAAAAGCACAAAGACACUACUUACCUUUUCCACAAAGUUGGAUUUUAAAAAACAACAACCAAAAACUGAAACCCAAGCCCUGUGGGUAUCUUGGUCAACUGGCUUACGCAUCAAGGAAUCAGCAAAAUUCUUCUAAAACACAAAGACUCACAAUCUCAGUUGCCUGCUGCACACAGCUUCUGACUGGACCCCCGUGUCUCGCUUCUGUUUAAACGUAUGCCUUGCCUGGCACCAACAGUGACUUAAUUGGUGCUGUUACUUUGCUUAUAUUUAGAAUCAAAUUUUAAUAAUUGCAGUCAAGUUUCAGCACUGUGCACAGUGCUACAUCUCGUACAGAUUCUUAUUCCUUCUUGUUUCGGUCUGUCGUUAAUGAAAGUAUUGCGAAAACUGUCAGUUGUCAGGAUGUCUCUAUGUUACAAAAGAACAAUUUAAUUGUGAUCGUUAUUGAACUAUGUCAGGUCUAUUUUAGGGUCAAUUAACUUGGGUGUUCUUCAGAAAAAAAUAAAAACCAGGAUGACAUUUGAAGCUUAAAGACAAAAAUGUCACGUGAAAUUACCAACCUCAUCUUCGAUUAACUGUUUCAUCUUCCUGAAAAUGCAUAAGUGAACAUGCAGUACCGCAAACAUCACUGUUUUCCAACUUCCAUUGACUGCGGCCCAUUCCCAUGACCAGACCAUUUCAUUCCUGGUUUCAGGUGUUUGGAUGUGGGAAGUCAGAGAGGCAAGGUGGGAGGCUGAAGUAAACAGCAUGUGUGCCUGCAUUUUCAUACGCCCUCAGUCAUCCUGUAAUCCAGUUGGCAAAAUGCCUCGAUACCAGAAGAAAUACGGUUCUUACAUUUUACAAUUCCACCUACACACAUGCGGUCGUACACACAUGAAGGCCCAUGAACUCAAAAAGGCAGCAAACCCGAGAAAAAGAAAACUAUUUUCCAUGAUGCCUUAAAAGAAUAUAUUUGCAUGCAUCCCUACUGGCACAGAGAGAGAUAAAAGAUCGUACAUAAAGUAUGUACAGGGUCCACAGUCUACAACAUACACCAACCAGAAGGGUGGUCGGCCGUCAAGGCUACCAUGUUAAAUAAAUUGGGGAAAAACAGUAACUUAAUAUUGCCCGUUUAUCCGGAUCUGUUCCAAAAUAUAAUGGAACCUUUUAUGGAAAUCGGUUCAGUAGAUUUUGAGUUAUGCUUAUGACACACUAACUAACAAAAAGCAACUUCGACAUAAGCGCCUUGGUCGAGGUAACAGGUACUUUAGCCAUUUUUAACAAACACAUUUCCCUGCUCUUGUGCUUAGUCUAUGGAGAAGUUAAUUCUCUCAAAAUUAAUAGCUCUCUCAAACUUUUGAGUCUCAGUCAUUUCAAUGUUUUAAUCCAUGUCAGAAAAGGAAAUGUCACCACAUUACAAGCUCUGUCGAUAGUUUUCACUAGCAGAGAAAAGCAUUUCCGUAAAGAAACGACUGCAGUCUGUGCUCCAGGGAUGCAUACUGUAGAUUCAUAUCAAAGUUGUGCACCAGAUCAAGACCAAAAGUCUGCAAUCAUGCUAACAGCUCUAUGAAAUUUGAUAUAAGCACAGGAGCGCUUUGUUAGAGCUAACACACUGUUAUUAAAUUGGUAAAAUUAAUGAAUGAAUCAUAGUUUAUUAUAUCACAACCAUGGCUCAAAAGAAUUUCACAAAAGAGGGAGACCACACAUAGUCUAUAAAUAAUGAAAAGUGCAAAUAACAUAAUGCAGAUGCAGUUGUGUCUGUGUGUGUUGAGGAGUGUAACUGUGUGUAUGAGUGUGAAACAGAAGAUACAAAAAAGUACUAUCAGUCAGCAGGCCAGGAGGAGAGACAGAGGGGAUCUUGCAAGUCUGCUUUUUUUUUUUUCCUCCUGAGCCCAGCCUGCCUAGGUGUCCACCCCUCAAUUUCCUGAAGCAAAGAGUACACAGAACCCAGAAUUUCCUCCAACCCGUCUCAGACUGAUAAACUUUUGAUGAAAGUUGAAAUUCUCCCCUUUCAAUUCAGUGUAUGUAAAGAGUUGAAAUCCAUGUUGAAAUGAGUUACCCCAACAGAUUUUUAUUAUCAUAGCAAAAAAGCUAUCCUCCUGGGGGUGAGAAACAUUUGCAUAUAGGCAGGGUGCAACUUGCUGGCGGGGGGGCUUGGGUGGGUGCGUGGAAUUUCCCCCUUUCUGGUCUAUAUAUCCCUGCCUCUGCUGAAUUAUUUGUAUCCGCGGUAGGGACUACAUUUACCCCCCCUCAAAGUGAUCGAUGCUACCUCACCAAGGGGGAUUUAGAUUUUGCAUGUUUUGCUCUGUUGUGCAUGUGUAACAACAGUGGUCAGCCAGUCAAGUUGUUGUGCAGUGCAGUUUGUGUGUGUAAACCUUAACAGACGUGCUAGCAAUGAUCGCCAGUGCCCCUGGGCUUUAGCAUGCUUGGUAGAGGUCGGAGGUCAGGAGUUUGAGGCCAGCCCCCGUUACACAUGAUCCUAUCGCUGCCGCCCCCCCCCCCCCCUCUGUUUUUUUUGUUUUUUUCCACAAAUCGCACCCUGCAUAUAUAAAUUGACCCUUUAUUUACUUGAAAAGACUGCAUCAAUCAAUGCUCAGUUUUGGGAAGGGAAGAAACUAUGAGAAUGUUAAAGAAAAAUAGAUUUGAUAAAUAAAAAAAACAGUCUGUAAAACCUAAGCCCAGUAUUGGCCCAGAACUGCAGGGAGUCCAUUGGAUGGAAGGGGAAAGAGGAUGGAGAGUGGAAGUUAGGGAUGAUGAUGAGCAGAGGUGUUGACUGUGUUUGUUUGUUUUUUUUCCUUUUUUUACCAACACUAAUGAAAAAUGAAUAAAUACAAUUAAAGUUAUCAUCAGCCAUGACAGUCAGGCCCAAAAAAGAGACCCAAAAAGGUCAAAUUCAGUGACACUACCGACUUGCAUUUACAGUUCAUGCUUGAAGACAUCGAGGGUGCCGGCGGUAAAGCCAAUGUUAUUGCCAAGAAACUAAAUAACUGUAAUAAAUGUUUCAGGUAAUAAAAAACAUAAAAUUCAC